GCGUGGGCGUGUUCUCUGUUCCUAGGCAGCAGCUCCGUUGUCACCACUCAAGCUCAGAAACAGAACAGGUGAAUGGAUUUGGCGGUAUCCCUCAGCUGGCUAUAGUAACCUAAGGAGAAGUCUUACCAAUCGGAAAGACCAGAACACAGCAAAGCUGAAGAUGGAAAAAGAAAAGGAAAAAGGUUCUGCAGAAUGCAGUAGGAGUCCAGGAUCUGAACAAGGAACCAGUCUGCUCACAGAUCUGGAGAGCCAAGGCCUAGAAAAUGGGGAUGACAUUCACACAGCAUCAGAUCCUAUAUGGAGAACACAGCUGUUUAUGGAACUGAACAUUUUACAUUCUUACAAAGCAAGCAUCAUGAAUAUAAAAAGCAUGAUGUGUGUAUAUGGAUAAAAAUGAAAGCUGACAACAGAGCACUGUCACAUGAGCUGCCACAUUCUCUUCAAUGUGUCUUUCUUAUUAAACUUACCCAGUGUAUUCAUAGCUGCCGUAGACACUGCCUGCUCUGAGGAUCUGACCUAGGCGCUGUCUAUAUGGCAGGAAGAGACUGAAAUAGGACUUCCCUGUGGUUAGAAAAAUCAGCCCAGCCCUGACCUGCAGCUCUGCAGAGGAGCCCAGCCCUGGAUGCCCAGCUGUUUCCAUGCAGUGAUCAGGACUGAGGACAGACGAUCACUGUGGAUUUUGGGCUGAGUUGGGUUUUCCUGUUUGAACUUCUGAAAGGUAAAUUAUUUGGUACAAGGGGUACAAAAUGAUAAUUUGGACACUAAUGUGUGAAACAGUGGACAUUUGUGACAGUUUUCUGACCAGGAUGUGAUUGUGUUAGCAGUUGUUAAGGCUGAGGGGCAGCUGGUGGUGUCUUCAGGAGGCUUGGUGCAGCCUGGGGGGAUCCUGAAACUCUCCUGUGUGGCCACAGAAAUCACCUUCAGUAGUUAUUGGAUGAGUUGGGUUUGCCAGGCACCCAGGAAGGAACUGGAGUGGAUCUCAUACAUCAAUACCAAUGGUGGUAGUAUAAACUGCGCAGACUCCAAGAAGGUCCUAUUCAUCAUCUUCCAGAGACAAUGACAAGAGCAUACGUAGCUGCAAGGAACAACCUGAGACCCAAGGACCCUGUGUUACUGUUCCAGAGACACAGUGAGGCAACAUCAGCAUGAGAUCAGACACAAACAUCCAGCUGAGGCACUCGGGACCAACACAGGGCGCUGUGUCCUAUGAGAAACAGGGCCCCAGAUGCAGGCGCAGAAAAGGAAGCUGCCAAGUGAAUGCUUCCUGGUAGCUUCUGGGUUUCCUCUGUUUUAAAAUCAUUUGUCCACAGAAGACCCCGAAAUUUGGAGGCAUCAGAUAACUGUGAAGUAUCUAAGUUCAAGUCAACAUUCUGUGUUGUAUUUAAUUACAUAAGUACAUAUUUAUGUAUUUUCUUUGUAAUCUAUAUAUAAUUUCACUUAAUGGGUAAAUGUGAAUGUACCUAUCUUGCAGAUACUUACACAUUUUGUGACAUGAACUUUCCUUUAAAUGACAAAUUGUCAUUGUCUAAAGUGAAUGUAAUGAUUUUAUCUGGAUGAUAAGUGGUGUCUCAUGAAGGAAUAAACCCUUCAUUUUAGUAAGUAAAA